GGACUCACGACUCGUCAGUGUUCGUGUGGAGUGGAAUGAGGGAGGAGUGCGUGCUCUCGCCCGUAUUGCUCAUGGUGAUUUUAUUGUGCAAAUAAGGAGUAACGAGGUGUAUUGUGUGAUCCGAAGACAAUUUACUUGACAUAGAAACGUCUGCCAGAAAGACGUGGGCGAGGGGCGGCCGUGGAGUGUGUUAGUGGGCGGCGGGAAGUGUUGGUGCGGGUGUGGGUGUGCCGCCCGGACCCGCCGGCACCGCGACAGGUGCGAGUUAGAGUGAGUUUUCAGUGGAAGUUAUACAGUGUUAGUAUGUAAACAGACUCAGAGUGGUGUCGCGCUGCCGCCUAGGAACUGUACCUUCGCUGCCGCUCCGGUCUGGAUACCUUCAGCUGAUGAACCCAAACAAAGAGUACGUGUAUGUUCCCCAAGCUCAAGUGAUUAUCUCCUGAUGAACGCCGCGUGUCUAAGUGACUAUGCAGAGCGGUAAGGCUUCCCGCAAGAAGACCCAUCAAGUUGACGAGGAAACAUUAAUUCCAAGAUCGUGAGAAUAAUUAGUCAGGCUGAAGGAAACCUGCUCGAGGAAUAAAACUGACUGCGGAGGGUGUGAGGACCGGGACGCCGUAGCAGGUGACUGGAAGUUGGCGGGAAAGAAAGGGUUGAAACUUGAGAAUGGAGGAGUGAGGGUGACGAGCAGCGGGCACCGGGCUGGUCUUGGCGGUGGAAGGGUCGCCCAUUUGAAGUACAAGACCAGUAUGAGACUCGAUGACUGGUGGAAGUGCGCUUAACACUCCGCGAUGAGCAAAGUUGUGACCAGGACGUCGUCUCUCGCCCCAGUCUGCUCACGGAGGACCGGGGAACGCCAGCGUGGAAGUGGUGGAGGUGGCUGAGUGUGAGGCUGUGGAAGGGAUGUAGGGUGAAGGUAUAUAGCCUCUGCUGCCUGGGUAGCCGCCGGCACCACUACCACCACUGCCCAGGCUGGCUGCUGGCAAGUAAUGGAACCCUCUGCCUUAAUUUCUUUGUUAUUCUUGCCAGUGUGGUUUAGGUCACAACAACAUUUGAACGUUUCUCCGUUAUCGAGAAUAAUAUUCUUAGGUUAGUUUUAGGUGGAAAAAUGUGUUGAUUCCGUGCUGAUUUGUUGAGAGUACGUGUUUUCCAGCUGUUUUCCUGGUAAUUGAGACAUCGGCGAAGGUUUUAUCAUGGAAAUGUUCUCGAUAAUAUGAUUACACACACACACACACACACACACACACACACACACACACACACACACACACACACACACACACACACACACACACACACACACACACAGACACACACACAAAACGGUAAUUCGUGUUUUUUUUUUUUAUGUAUGAGUGGCCAGUGGGUUGAAAAAUAAAAGUCUUUAAUUGGCUGUCCUUUAAAGUAUGUAGUAGGAGAGCUUUAAAAGGGAAGGGCAAAUUAGUUUCAGUGGUGAGUCUCGAUACUCCUGUCUCGAAAAAAAAUGUAAGGGAGGAAAGUGGAAUUAAAAGGCAGAGCGCUCAAGAGCUUUGAAAGGGAUGCAGUGUGGGAUUAAUAAGGUGCACAGAAUAGGGGUGAGAGUAAGUAGGAAGUCUUAUGGAACUAGGCCGCGGAAGGGAAUGGUGAACGGGAUGUAGUUACCAAGUUCAGAUUAGUGUCCGUGACAAUACGAUAAAACACAACUAGAUACAACAUUGCUUACAUGCAGGAUUUUUAAAGUCACUAAUGAAAACCUCAUCCGAAACUACUGCGCAUAUACCCUCCAGUAAUAAGCCAGACAGUCAGAAUUUCAUAAUAAAAGUAAUAAAGAGCUAUUGUGCUGAAGAGCCUUGAAAAAAUGUUGCUUCUCCCUUUUGGCUGAGACCGAGACUUUUUUGCUGAACGUGUCCCUCAGCGCCGCUUUGUGUCAAGCUGAUGAAUGUGUGUCAUUAAGAUAUAAAUGGAUACAAUUUGUGCUUGUAAUUUUUGCGUAUUGGUUUCUCUUCACCAGCAAUUGUUCGGAUGCUGUGUCAGGUGAGUCUUAAACACCAGUGCAGUGUGUCGUGCAUGCAGGAGGAGCCUUUAGAUAUUCGAAACGAUGUGUCGGUUCUUGCAUUACAGGUCAGUCAAGUUCAUUCGUUUGAUGUAAUUACCUCCGUCUUUAUUUACCCGAGUCUGUUUAUUUAUUCACUUGUGCUGGGAACUGCUUUGUAUUUCACUCAAGUUUAAAUUUUGUUGUUUUUUCUCUUCGUAAAUAGCGAAAAGAAAAUCUAAUACGAUUCGCGUGGCGAAAUACGAAACCUGAAAAAAAAAAUAUAUAUAUAUUUGAAGCGUCGCCGCCUGGCUUCCAGGAAUGAUGCGCAAGUUUCGCAAUGUUUGAGUAAAUUUUGCUCGGUAGUAUUUUGCUGCAAUGAAAUCGUAUGAAGGUUUCUGGUUUUAAUUGGGGUCAGUGAACAACAAAAUUAAUAUUAUAUUGAGCAGACACGGAAGUCGUUGCUUCAGUCUUAACAACUGGAACGGAAGAUCAUAAAUGUGAAUGUUACCUGAUGGAGAUUUUCAGGUGAAUAAAAACGGCGAAACGAUGCAAGAGUUGACCUGAAGGCACGUCACGGACAGCUGUGAGCCACCCAAGAUGACCUGGCACUAGUGCCAGCCUUUGUGUAGUUUGGCGUAAAGAUUUCUGGUGAACAUUAGUUUGACCACGGUAAUUUAGCUUAUACCAUACAUCAAAUGCAUUUGAUAUUAUAAACGUUAUAGUGAGUGGAACUGAGUGUACUGUAAAAAGCAGCUUGUACUACAGCACAGGAGCGUUUUCCAUUCACUUCACUGGGGCACCGCAAGAAUUUUGGGUGUUCAUGUUUGUCUUCGCCGCAACCCACAGCGUGAGGCAGGUCUUGGUGCGCCUCGAACCAUCCCAGCGGGUCUGCUUCAUCACAAUAAUUCAAUUAGGCUCAGAAGAUCUGUAAGGGAUCGUUAUUCUGAGUCUUCCCGGGAGAUAUUUUUAUAUUUAAGUUGUUUGUUUAAUGAAAGAACGAUUUGGCACUGAAAAGUAUAAGUGUACUUAAGUGUAUUGAGUGGUAUUAUAUGUGUAUAUGGUGUGCGUGCGCGCGCCUUUUUUUUUUUUUCCAUUGUGCGAGAAUCUUCUGAUUUCACAGUUUGCUUGUUUUUUGUAAAUUCCCAAAAUCUUACGCUUAGGAAGAGGAUGAGAGCGAGUCUGCAGAAAAUAAUGCAGUGCUUGCGAUGGAGUGCAGGCGUGACCUUCAUGAGGACGCGCCGGGGGAUGGGGGUGAUAAUCCGGUUUGUUGGAACGGCAUGAAAUUCUGUUUCGAAUUCCUGGCGGGGCGAAAGUUGGUGAUGAUAAACGGCAUUUCAUAUCAGCACCAGUUCUAACGGAGAAGACUGGUUUUUCUCGAUAAUUCAUCGGCGAGAAACAAGUUCAUUGAUCCAGUUUGUAAUGGCGUGACACAUUCUUAACUGGAGGAUGUACGAGCUCUGUCUCUUAAAAUGGAGUAGAUACAUUUCUCUGCUCUCAAUGUUUUGCGAAAGUUUAGUGCAUGUGAUGGGCGCACUCGUACAAUAGUGGAAUACUUACACUGCGUCUGAAUACAUACUUGCCAUUCUGGUGUAAUAUUCUGCUUGGGGUCGAAAAGUUUUAAGUUCAUUUCUGUCCCGUCAUUUUCUCAGUGGAAGAUGUAUCGCUCUUUUGCAGCCUUACCGGGCAUCAUACGGCCUCGUUGAUUCGGUGUAAUUCAAUCAGUAGUUGUUGAUUCGUGUGGAGAUUGAAAGAAAAAAAGUAGCAUAAGAUACAACACAUCGUGCUGGGUGUUGUGAGCUGCAGAGGUUGGUUGGUUCUCGCCGCCCCAUGUCGGCGUGCUGGGGUUCAGGAUCUUCACGGUCAAUAUAAAAGAUUGUUGCUGGCAUUGUGUUACUUUGAAACUUCGAGGAAUGUUAGCCUUAAAAGUUCACUAUUUCUCUUAUGGUUUCUUUAGUACAGAUUCAACAGCUGCAGUGACUCCUUUCCCUACCUCUUCCUUUUGCCAUCCCGCUCCCCGCCCUUCCCUUCACUUCCCUUCCCUUUACAUGCUUGGGUGGGGAUGUCCUGCAGCCCCAGCAACCCUGGUCUCAGAUAAACACAAGGGCAAAUGUUUACUGGGAGAAUGUCACAACUGCUGUUCUGUUCUUGCUCCCCAUAAUUCCUACUCGCCCCUCCACGGUGCGCUGACAACUCCAGCAACCCUUGCCGCUCUGUAUGGUCGCCCCAACCACCCCAACAGUGUUUCUUCCAUUUUACAUUUGUACUUUAGGGUAUGGCGAGAAAUAGAUUGGGUGGGAUAGGAUGGGAAAAGUACAAGGAAAUAAGAGCGGUGUGGUGAUUGAGAAUACAUACCCUUUACCCCCGCCCUGCAGCUGCCUGCACCCGAAAAGCGUUUCUUCCAUAUUUUGUAUUUAGAUUUCUACCAAGAGUAUGAUAGGAAAGGGAUUUAAGCGUGUGGGAUAGUGUGUGAAAAGUACAAGGAAAUAAAGAAAGGUGUUGAUGAAAUAAAAGUACACGUGGUUUAGGUUUGCUAUUCGUACAUCGGGACAGUGUAUACUUCCUUUAUGACGAGGGAAGAGCCAAUGUGAGUUGCAGUGUCCAUCGUCAGCCAAACAGUUUACAGUCAGAAGGGAGUCGGCGUCUUGGUGCAGGUAGGAGACUUGGCUUUGGUUUUGCACCAGCUAUGUGUGUAUGUGUGUCUGUGUCAAAAGGAGUGAAUCAGCACCAGUGGUAUAUUCGUGCAGGCAUCCGAAAUAGAUAGGCUGCUUUUUGUGUCAAGGCCAGCAGUGACAGGAAAGUACCAUAAACAACCGUCAGACCAGCGGUGUCAGCCUGUACUUGGAGGUAAUUUGGGACGGUCCUUGUUUUUACUUCUGUGUCAUCCUUAAGCAAUCACCAUUCUUCUCGCUGAAACCAUGAUCCAGAAAGAGAGAGAGAAAAAAAAAAUAAUGGAAGCUUCUUGGGUGGUGGAGUGGACGAGAAAGGAGUAGAAUAAUAAGAGUCGUUUGGUGAAGCGUGGUGGUAGUGGUGAAAGGAGAGGGAGGAGGUGGAUAAAGGAGGUGGAUGAGGGCUGCAGACAGAGGAGGACGAAUGAGGUGGAGAGCGGCUGCAGACGAAGGAGAUGGAGAUGAGUUUUAGAGAGAGAAAGGCGAGGGAGGAGUCGGAUAAAGACUGCAGAGAGAGAGAGAGUAUAGGGCGAUGGAGGAAGUGGGGAAGGGUUAUAGAAAGAAAGGCGAGGGCAGAGGCGGAGACAUGUUAGGUCGUAUUUUUAAGCGCUUUGUUCUCUCAUCAGCUCCAUUUUCGAAGACCACGGGGAUGUUUAGUCGUGGUCAUACAGGUGUUGCUUCCCUCUGAUAUGCAGAAAUCCAGUGUACACUAUCACAGGAAGAAUUAUGGAAACACCCUUGAAAACCCCAGCAGCUUCCACUAGAAAAGAUGCUAAAACGUUUAUGAAUACCGUUGACGGAGGAGACAGGGAUGGGCAGCAGACACUGGGAAGGAGGAGGAACAGCGGACAGAGGAGAUGGGGAAAGGCUGCAGACAUAGGAGGGCAAGGGAGGAGGCGGGGAGGGAGUGCAGACAGAGGAAGGCGAGGAGAAGCGUGCAGGCUCCUUUAGCUUCUGCACCAACCGCCCUCCCAUCAUGGAGCGUCGCCUCGCCGUAGCUCAGCAUCGCCUUGAAAAAUGGCCGCGGAUCCAAUUAUUCGCAGCUCCUUACUCAAGCUCACUUAAACCGAGCUGUCUGGCGGCCGAGCCCAGUGCUACUCCACCCUUUAUUUACUUGUCUUCGCUAAGAUACACUACAGGCAUCGCUUCCCUGCGCGCCCCUCCUCGCCCACCACUACGGAGCAUACUCGGAUAUUCUCUUUUUUUAAUAUUUCUUUUUUCUUUCCUGCGCUUUCGUAUUGCCUUCCCCUGAUGAUAGUGAUGAUAUUUGGUGAUAUAAUAUAGUGGUGAUGGUGCAGCUGUAUCUGAUUUAGUGGUGGUGUUGCUUGUUGAUGUAGUGGCAGUGAUGACAGUAAUUGAUGAGGUGAAGAGAAUAGCAAGUAGUAGAUGAUUUAGUGGUGGUGGUGCUGGUAGUGAUGGUCAAGUGGUAGUGGUGAAGGUAGUGAUUCCUGUACGCUUAAUGAUAGGGCUUUUUGAUAGUGCAGGUCCUGGUACUUAAGUGUGUACACAAAUGUAUAUAAUUAUACCGGUACUCUGGCACGGAAAAAUUUUACUUGCUGUUUGAUCAAAUGAUAACGAACAGCGAAUAUAAUUAAUGUGGGAAAUGGCGUUAAAAAGAAGCGGAAUAAUUCGUGUUCCGUCACCACCGAGUUUGCUGAAAUUUUAACAGGUGUUUUGUGAUCUUUGUUUUCUGCGUCCAGCAUUGCACCACCUCGGUGGGUUGUUAAAGGCAUCGCUGUGUUGCUUUGUGGCGAGUGGAUAAAAAGGAGAAUAUAACAGUAUUGCAUAAUAAUUUAUCUGAAUGCAGAGUAUUCGUUGAAUUAUUCUAUUGCCUCAUGGUGUGUAUUGCACCUGCGUGGAUGACGUGAGCCUCGAGCUUCCUGCGUUCGGUGUGCAGCGCAUUGGUCAGUGUGUGUCGUGCCCCUGGUUGCUCUGCCUGCCAAGUACCUCUCCUGGUAUGCCGCCAUCUUGAAAACCCUGGGUACUGCUGCCUCGUUCAGUCUUGUCUCAUCUAUCUUUACCUCCUGACAUGUAGCUGUAGUGUGCGUAGUGUUGUAAAGGUCUCAGUAUAUCAUACAUACACUAAAACUAUCAUCAUCUUUAUCUUCCUGCCGCCUCAUCACUGCUUUGUCGUGUGCUGCAAGUAGAGGCUGCUUUUGGGAACGUACCUUUUCCUUAUAUUUAAUUUUACCAACCGGAGAGGACAGGAUCUUGUGUAGCGGAAGAAUUGUUACCGGAUUCUGAACUGAACCGGAUCCUUAUGCUUUUUUUGUCCAGGAUUAAUUAUAAUUCAUAUUAAUUGGAAUCUGGAUAUUACGCGGAUGAUAAAUGUUUAGGGCGCGUGCUGCAAGUCUUUCCUGAGUGAAGGUGUUGCCUGAGUUCACCUACCUACGUAUUUGUUAACCUUUGCCUUUUCGUUUGCGUUUGUUUUGAGGUUCGUCUUUAAUUUUCUACAAGUGAGAUGCAUUUUCAUUCAACCAAUUACCCGAAACAUCAACUAAUAAUCAUACCUUGUAAUUUUACCAAAAGUAAAAAAAAAAAAUAUUUCAAUGUAAAAUAAAUAAAUAAAAAAAAGGUAUUGACUCUUAAACGCGUACACGCACGCAUCUUUUCUUAAUAGUUGUCUAAUUAACUUAAUCCAAUAACUUGUGACGUUUUAUUGUGUUAUUUGAAGUGACCCAAUAAACAGUAGAGCAACGAUAACUGCAGCUGUGGAGUAAAUUCAGUGAUGUACUUUGCAGGGUAACGUAAGCCUAAGGGAUUGGAAGGGAAGGGGGCUUUUAGAAAUGACAAAUAAUAUCCUGCACUGGCGGGUUGAGCUGCUGGAGGUUCAUACUGACAUCUUCUGUGUGGGGAACAAUAAGCACCGUCGUAUGGAGAGAGAGAGAGAGAGAGAGAGAGAGAGAGAGAGAGAGAGAGAGAGAGAGAGAGAGAGAGAGAGAGAGAGAGGAUGGGGGGAGUGGAGCAGGAAGCACUAAAUGUAUGGUGCGAGACGGUUUAAAAAGAAAAGAUGUGCUACGGGACUGUUUAUUAUUUCCAACAAAAGCCUUAGUCAUCACAAACACAAACCGCCCCAUUCUUGCUAGCUGGAAACACACACACACACACACACACACACACGCACACACGGCAGUAUCUCAUUCCCAAGUAAAAAGUCCUUCAGAUUCCAAACAGCUGCAGAGUUCAUUAUUUUCUGUCAUGGAAUAAGAAGUGUGUCAAGAAAUGAUAACUGUGAAUCUGUCGAAGAAGAGAGAGACGUGUUUAAGUGGCACUUUGCCCGCCCUGCAUUAUUGGAGACCAACCCUCCUCCUCCUCCUCCUCCUCCUCCUCCCACCUUCUCCGCUCAUUCCCACCCCUCCCGACCUGUGAGCUUGCUGCAAAUUAAAGUCUAGAGAACCCUCCCCCCUUCCAGACGCCUCGAACGGUGGUAUUAGUGGUGGUGAGACUCAUCGACGAGAGAGAGAGAGAGAGAGAGAGAGAGAGAGAGAGAGAGAGAGAGAGAGAGAGAGAGAGAGAGAGAGAGAGAAUGUAUACAAACACAGUCACAUACACACAGUUUCCCCCUUAACGCCUUAAUCACCACUGUAGGGGGAGUGUCAGCCCUCGCUACUGCUAAGAGUGUGGCCCCGUCAAAAAGGAGAGAAGAAAAACCCUCCCUUGUAAACAGAGAAGUAAAUGGUGGUGGUCUUUCAGGAUGGCUUCCCCGCGUGUCGCUCUUUGUCCCUCCCUCCUUCCUGGCGCGCUAUCUUAACUACUGUUGUUCUAAUCCACUUUGCCUUGUGGUAUUUUUUAAUGAUCCGGCGGCAGGACGGCAAUGGGGCUCGCUCCCCGUGGACGUGGUGUUGGUUUCCUGUGCUUUUUAAACUUGGACUCUGUGUUUAAAAAGUGCUGCUACCUCUUUUCUUGCUUUUUUUUUUUUUUGGGCGGCCAGCAGAAAUUCACUCGUAAUAUUAACAAUUUUUUCCCUUAUGUACAAACUUUAUUAUUAUUUUUCUGUUUUAAAGUUUCCAGGGUAUGGAAAGUUUUUUUUGAUGUGGAAAGUUUGUACGUGGGAAGUUUGUCUGAUGUCUGACCCCUUUCUUGGGUAACAAUUUAUCUGGCGAUGCAAGUUAGGUUGAUAAUAGUUACAGGCACACGGGCAUACGAUAGGUAGUGGCAGAAGGGAGGGAAGGAGCAGCAGUGUGGUGGAGAGGGUGGGGAAGUGCUGCAGCUGAGAGACUCCUGGGUGCUGAGAACAGUGAUGGGUAGUGGUGGUUAUGGUGGGGAGGAGCUUGACGGGGAAGCAGAGGGGCUAAGUUGUGCUUCCGGAAAUGUCAUGUGGUGUUCCUUUGUACUGUACCAGCGCGUAGCCUGCCUUCCACGCCCGCAGCACCGCCAGUAUGUACGUACCCUCAACCUUAGCCUUGGCACACGAUCCCUUCUUGCUGCCUGUACUUAAUAUCUUCCCUCAGGUAAUUACGGCCGAGCUCGCAGUAAUGGCCCCUUACGGUGGAGCAACUGCUGAAAAAAGAGGAGGCGCCAUAGGUUUUAAGGCACUUAGGGUCCUCGCGGGCGGGACGGCAAGCCCCAAACACCCCUUUAAGACCGGUUUUCUUGGCGUGGUGGUUGUGGCCCUGCUGGUGGUGGUGGUGGUGGUGGUGGCUGUGGUGUUUGUGUGGUGAUGGUGGUGGUGAUGAUGGUGGUGCAGGAGACUACUUGUACAUCUUCAUGUCGUUCUCCUGUGGGCUUAUUUCAUUUUCCUUUUGUGCCUCCUCCUCCUCCUCCUCCUCCUCCUCCUCCUCCUCCUCCUCCUCCUCCUCCUCCUCCUCCUCCUCCUCCUCCUCUCGUGCCGUUAGCUAAGUAACUGUGUCAAACAAAUUGCCUCUUGUUGCAGUUGCUACCACUCACCAUAUAUGCUGGAGUCUCGUUAUCAGAUUGAUCGAUGGUCCUUCCUCCUGACGCAGAGCUGUAGCGAAGGUAGCACUUGGCCUGACGGGGGAAUUGUAAAGUGAAAUGCUUCGUAAAUCACUUGGAAACCUCACGCUGUUGGUGAUGAUGCUAAACUGGUGAUGAUCAUUGAGGAUGGUGAUGACGGUGUCUAUAAACAUUACUGAACGGUUGAUAAUAGUGUUUUGAUUUGCAUUUACUUGUAUAUAAUGACAAGCACUGGAGUCAUUAAACCUUUAUGCACGAUAAUUCUCUCGUUUUAUAAGACUUAUCUCUUUCACGUGGGCUAACAGUCACAUAUGGAGUCUUGUUGAAGUGUUGUUCUAUAUUCUUGGUGCUUGUAAGUGUUGUGAUUGUGGUUGUGGUGGGGGAUGUGGGGAGGUGCAGGGCCAGUCUUGGUAACUAAAGGGGAAAGACAGUCAUUAAACCCUCGUAUUCAUCAGGCUUAAGGAAAUUCUGGCCACGCGCCGCGCCAUCCAUCACCAACAUCCAUCACCAACUUGUGCUUGAAUCGAAGGAAGGCGGCCACACACACACACACACACACACACACACACACACACACACACACACACACACACACACACACACACACACACACACACACACACACACACACACUCCAGCGUUCUCUACUAAUGACAUAGGUUGAUGGAGUUGUUUUUUUUUGCUCUUUUUUGACUGUAACUUUAGAUUGGUACUACUACUACUACUACUACUACUACUACUACUACUACUACUACUACUACUACUACUACUACUACUACUACUACUACUACUACUACUGGCGUGACUGUAGGAAUUGCAUUAGGUUCACACAGUAAUAAUUUCUAAGCAACGUUUCUAACCUAGUCUUCUCAUUGGGGUUCCUCACAUUUACCUAAAUUUAGACGGUUUUACUUUUGUUCAGGCACUACCGCCCCCCCUCCCACACACACACACACACACACACACACACACACAGAGAGAGCACGGCCACCACCACCACCGUAGUUAUUUCCCGCCUCCAUUUCCUCUUGUCCGAUAAAAUGCGGGGCCUAAUAUUUCGUGGCCGAGACUCGCACAUUCACCGCUGCAUUCCUCACGCGCGUGUUAACUUUAAUGUCACAUUCUUAUGGUCACUCAUUGCCCACCACACGGCUACACACACACACACACACACACACACACACACACACACACACACACACACACACACACACACACACACACACACACACACACACACACACACACACACACACACACACACACACACACACACACACACACACACACACACAUUAACAGGGUGUGAAUUCCUGAUCUAAUGGGUGUGUUUGAUAACCUUUCCGAAUAAUGAUGGUAAAAAAAAUCAUGAAAAAUAUUGAUGAUAAUAAUAAUUUGAAGGGUUAGCAUUGUUGGCGAUGGCUGAGGGUAGUUUAAUGGGAAUAAUGACGAUGGUGUGCUCUUCACGGCUUUAUGAGCAUCCUUUAUGGCACAUUAACAUGGUGUUAGAGUGAGGCACUCCACAACGCCCGCCGCGCCACAACCCUCAUCGCCCGUGAUAUUAAGAGCUUGAGCGGGUGUGGGGGCGGGUGUGGAUGGUUUACAUAGCUAUGGGAAGCAGCAACCCCCCCCCCCCCCACACACACACACACACACACACACACACACACACACACACACACACACACACACACACACACACACACACACACACACCGUGCCUGCUGUAGCUUCCUGAAGGCCAUUAUAUGCCCGGAUUUAUGUUUUAGUUACCAUUUUGUUGUAGCAGUGCGUGUGGAGGCGGUGGCGGCGGCAGUGCACGGUGGCGGAGGGCGUGUCGGCGUGGCCCUCGCAUGCACCCGGAUUUAUUGGACGCUCUGCGGGCUGUUAACGACCGGCCAGUUGUCCCGAGGCUGGAAUGACUGCCGGCUGGACCUAAUGGAUGACCGCCCUCCCACCCCCACCUCAGCUCUCCCUCAUCUCCCUCCUCCUCACUCCUCCGCGUCCCUCCCACGUGCCGUUUUUACGCCGCAGAAACCUACCGCCCCCGCCCUCGCCGCUGCCGCACACCUGGUCAGGUCAGUCCAACCCCACUCGGUUAAAAUUGAUGUUAUUAAUUUUGGCCUUGCCGUGGUGGGAUAGCGUCGGGCCGGGCAGUGUUGCGUGCUGGUGUCGGCGUCCUAAUGGUGCUCCUCACUCUCCUUAGUGAACCCUGACCUGUGAACAUUUUUGUACUGGUCGACUGUGUUUCUUACCGCGAUGGCUUCCGGAUGCGUGUAGAUUUGCAGAAUGGACUUUACUGGCGGUUACACAUACACAUCGUUUCCUCUUCAGUUCGGGAUGUCCGGCAACAUGCGUUAGCUUAUCAUAGGGUCAUAGGGUGCUCCGCGCAAUAAUGUUGGGUCUAUAUUAAAAAACGCUUUGCUUUCUCAUCACGACUAUUUUUAAAGGCCACAGAGAUGAUGAUUAGUCGGGUUUUCAAUGAGUGUUUCUCCUAUUCAUAGUGAAGAAAUAUUAUUGAUCUAUCAUUAGAACCGUAAAAUUAUCCUGAACUCGUGUAACAUCAUCUAGAGCCUAUUGAAAGUCAGGGAAGUGUGGCCAGAAGUUUUCAGAACAUGGUCCUUAGUGCCAUUCUGGUCCCCUAUGCCGUGUGCGUCGUUCUGUCCCGUGAGUGGUGGCCAUAAACUUCCCCGUUUUAACACAGGUGACAGUUCGCGCUCCAUCAGGUCGUCUUGCCACAUGCACACGAUCUUGGUGUAUAUAUAAUGAGGCAGCUUUACCCUUUAAAGCGUGUCUGGUAAAUGAAAUGGUGUGUAUUAUUACCAUUCCGUUAAAUAUAGGUAGCUCUAUAUGAUAAAUUCAUUAUAUUAAUUACUUGAACAAAUAUUCAGCCGUAGCCCUGAUAUGAAUUACAUGCAUUAUUAAUUGGUCAGAACUUAAUAUGUUCAAUCAGAAUUUUAAAUGUUUGUUUUCCUAAUUUUAAUCCCUCCGUCUCUCUCUCUCUCUCUCUCUCUCUCUCUCUCUCUCUCUCUCUCUCUCUCUCUCUCUCUCUCUCUCUCUCUCUCUCUCUCUCUCUCUCUCUCUCUCUCUCUCUCUCUCUCUCUCAUUGCCUAUAUGUGCUGCAGUUUGUGAAGUCAUAAUUUCUGGUCGUGUUGUGUCGUGGUACUACACUUGGUAAAUAGUAUGAGAGGGGGAACAAUAUUGAGUCUCCUAUAACACACACACAGAUAUACACACACACACACCGACCCACCCCUCAACACACCGACUCACUCACUCACCCACCCAUACACUCACUCACUCAGUUGUCUGCCCGUGUGUGCGUGUGUUUUUGCGGUGUAUGAUUGACGUUUAGUGCACCAAACACUUGGGAAGGAAAGCAGGAAGAGUGGGAGUGUGAAGGCCCCUCGUCAUCCAGCCUCGUGGUGUACUAAUGAACGCUGCUAUAGAAAGGGUCUCCACUUUUCUUACUCUUCCUGUGGUCAUGAUUCUCUCUCUCUCUCUCUCUCUCUCUCUCUCUCUCUCUCUCUCUCUCUCUCUCUCUCUCUCUCUCUCUCUCUCUCUCUCUCUCUCUCUCUCUCUCUCUCUCUCUCUCUCUCUCACAACGAUAUGCAUUGUAUGAGACAACUAGACCACUGUUUAUGCGUUGUAACACACACACACACACACACACACACACACACACACACACACACACACACACACACACACACACACACACACACACACACACACACACACACACACACACACACACACACACACACACUUGCACAAUCACACACACAAUCUCACUCACGCACGCAAUCACACUCACUCACACUUACGGCUCUCCUUGGCAUCCCUCACGCACCUUUUUAGCCGAGCCUGCCACGAAUCCGGUAACUUUACUCCAUAGUGAUGCCCUUGUUGUCACGAGCCUGGCGGAGCUGUGCCCUCUUUCCCUUAUGCUGAUGUUAAUUUAUUUAGUCCGUCUUGGUUGUAACGUUAAAUUAUCUUUAACUGUGGGUAUUGUAGUUAAUGGGAUACAAUUUUUUUUUUUUUAUGAACAAUUACUGCAGGCAUGCUUUUUCUUUUUAUGGAGGUAUUGGUUUCUCAAAUAUAUAAUUACCUGU